GACGAACGCUGGCGGCGUGCUUAACACAUGCAAGUCGAACGGAAAGGCCCUGCUUUUGUGGGGUGCUCGAGUGUCGAACGGGUGAGUAACACGUGAGUAACCUGCCCUUGACUUUGGGAUAACUUCAGGAAACUGGGGCUAAUACCGGAUAGGAGCUCCUGCUGCAUGGUGGGGGUUGGAAAGUUUCGGCGGUUGGGGAUGGACUCGCGGCUUAUCAGCUUGUUGGUGGGGUAGUGGCUUACCAAGGCUUUGACGGGUAGCCGGCCUGAGAGGGUGACCGGCCACAUUGGGACUGAGAUACGGCCCAGACUCCUACGGGAGGCAGCAGCGGGGAAUAUUGCACAAUGGGCGGAAGCCUGAUGCAGCAACGCCGCGUGCGGGAUGACGGCCUUCGGGUUGUAAACCGCUUUCGCCUGUGACGAAGCGUGAGUGACGGUAAUGGGUAAAGAAGCACCGGCUAACUACGUG
rnacentral:rRNA from 1 species